UCAAGCUACAAAGAGCUUACGGAGGAUGCCUAGGUACAUGGCGCCGAGGAAGGACGUGACAAGCUGCGAAAAGCUGCGGGGAGCUGCAAAUGAGCCGAGAUCCGCAGAUAUCCGAAUGCGGGAACGCACUGCAAGUAAUGUUGCAGUAUCGCCGUAUGAAUCAAUAGUACGGCGAGGGGAACCCGGGGAACUGAAACAUCUUAGUACCCGGAGGAAAAGAAAGUAAGAACGAUUCCGAGAGUAGUGGCGAGCGAAAUCGGAGGAGCCCAAACCGCAUGUAGCAAUACGUGCGGGGUAAGGACCUUCACAAACGCACCGAGAACGAUAGCCGAAGAGUGUUGGAAAGCACCGCGAAAGGAGGUAAAAGCCCUGUAGGCGAAAUUGUUCGGAGGCGGAAGGUAUCCGGAGUACGUCGGGACACGAGGAAUCCUGACGGAAGAAAGGAGGACCAUCUCCAAAGGCUAAAUACGACCAUGUGACCGAUAGCGAAUAGUACCGUGAGGGAAAGGUGAAAAGCACCCCGGGAGGGGAGUGAAAGAGAACCUGAAACCGUGAGCUUACAAGCAGACAGAGCACCGCACGCGUGUGAUGUCGUACUUUUUGUAGAACGGGCCGGCGAGUUACGUUGUGUUGCGAGGUUAAGCGAUAAAGUCGCGGAGCCGAAGCGAAAGCGAGUCUGAAUAGGGCGAGAAGUAGCAUGACGUAGACCCGAAACCUGGUGAUCUAUCCAUGAGCAGGCUGAAGCAGAGGUAAAGCUCUGUGGAGGGCCGAACCCACGCCUGUUGAAAUAGUCGGGGAUGACUUGUGGAUAGCGGAGAAAUUCCAAACGAACCGGGAUAUAGCUGGUUCUCCUCGAAAUAGCUUUAGGGCUAGCCUCGUGAGAGAUUGCCGAAGGUAGAGCACUAAAUGGCCUAGGGGGCUUCACAGCUUACCGAAGCUUAUUAAACUCCGAAUGGCGGACAAUUGAUUCACGGGAGUCAGACGGCGACAGAUAAGUGCCGUCGUCAAAAGGGAAACAGCCCAGAUCCACAGCUAAGGUCCCAAAGUACAGGUUAAGUGGUAAAGGAUGUGUCAUUGCAGAAACAACCAGGAUGUUGGCUUAGAAGCAGCCACACAUUAAAAGAGUGCGUAAUAGCUCACUGGUCGAGUGAUGGUGCGCCGAAGAUUACCGGGGCUCAAACCUGACACCGAAGCUUGGGGAUAGCAGUAAUGUUAUCGGUAGAGGAGCAAUGCGUACGGGCAGAAGCUGUAUCGGAAGAGGCAGUGGACUGUACGGAAGAGAGAAUGCCGGCAUAAGUAGCGAGAGGGAGGCGAGAAACCUCCCCGUCGAAAGUCUGAGGUUUCCUGGGGAAGGUUCGUCCGCCCAGGGUCAGUCGGGACCUAAGCCGAGGCCGAAAGGCGUAGGUGAUGGACAACGGGUUGAUAAUCCCGUACCACCGACGGACGCAUAAAUGAAGCAGUGACACAGAGGGAUAGUUCGAGCGCGCGGAUGGAAAAGCGCGUCCAAGGCGAAGCGCCGGCAGGCAGUGAAGUACGCCUGUCAAAAAGCGUAGCGCCGACGGGGAGCGGACUAGGGAAGCGAAGCGAAUGAAUCCGCACUGGCGAGAAAAGCUGCUAAAUAAGUCCGAAGGUGCCCGUACCGCAAACCGACACAGGUAGACGAGAAGAAAAUUCUAAGACGAACGGGAGAACCAUUGUUAAGGAACUCGGCAAAAUGACCCCGUAACUUCGGGAGAAGGGGAGCCACAGAGAUGUGGCCGCAGUGAAGAGGCCCAAGCGACUGUUUAUCAAAAACACAGGUUUCUGCGAAAGCGCAAGCUGACGUAUAGGAGCUGACGCCUGCCCAGUGCCGGAAGGUCAAGGGGAAGUGUUAGAGCAAUCGAAGCACCGAACUUAAGCCCCGGUGAACGGCGGCCGUAACUAUAACGGUCCUAAGGUAGCGAAAUUCCUUGUCGGGUAAGUUCCGACCCGCACGAAUGGCGUAACGACUUGGGCGCUGUCUCAACAGUGGACCCGGCGAAAUUGUAGUAUACGUGAAGAUGCGUAUUAACCCGCGACUGGACGGAAAGACCCCGUAGAGCUUUACUGUAACUUGAUAUUGGAUCACGGCAAUUGAUGUACAGGAUAGGUGGGAGACUGAGAAGCAUCCUCGUCAGGGGGUGCGGAGUCGACGUUGGGAUACCACCCUUUGAUUGCUGGGAUUCUAACCCGCUGCCGUAAGCCGGGGCGGGGACAUUGUCAGGUGGGCAGUUUGACUGGGGCGGUCGCCUCCUAAAAGAUAACGGAGGCGCCCAAAGGUUCCCUCAGCAUGGUUGGAAAUCAUGCAAAGAGUGUAAAGGCAGAAGGGAGCUUAACUGUGAGACAGACAUGUCGAACAGAUGCGAAAGCAGGGCUUAGUGAUCAGGCGGUAGAGAAUGGAAUUGCCGUCGCUUAACGGAUAAAAGUUACCUCGGGGAUAACAGGCUUAUCUCCCCCAAGAGUUCACAUCGACGGGGAGGUUUGGCAC
rnacentral:rRNA from 1 species